rnacentral:rRNA from 1 species
UGGGGAAUAUUGGACAAUGGGCGAAAGCCUGAUCCAGCCAUGCCGCGUGUGUGAAGAAGGCCUUUUGGUUGUAAAGCACUUUAAGCGAGGAGGAGGCUACUUAGAUUAAUACUCUAGGAUAGUGGACGUUACUCGCAGAAUAAGCACCGGCUAACUCUGUGCCAGCAGCCGCGGUAAUACAGAGGGUGCGAGCGUUAAUCGGAUUUACUGGGCGUAAAGCGUGCGUAGGCGGCUUUUUAAGUCGGAUGUGAAAUCCCUGAGCUUAACUUAGGAAUUGCAUUCGAUACUGGGAAGCUAGAGUAUGGGAGAGGAUGGUAGAAUUCCAGGUGUAGCGGUGAAAUGCGUAGAGAUCAGGAGGAAUACCGAUGGCGAAGGCAGCCAUCUGGCCUAAUACUGACGCUGAGGUACGAAAGCAUGGGGAGCAAACAGG